rnacentral:rRNA from 1 species
GAUGAACGUUGGCGACGUGCCUAACACAUGCAAGUCGAGCGGUGAGAAGUGGACUUAAUCUUCGGAAAGAGGAAACUUGGAACAGCGGCGGACGGGUGAGUAAUACAUGAGCAACCUGCCUUGGACAGAGGGAUAGCCGUGGGAAACUGCGAUUAAUACCUCAUAAGACCCCACUAUCGCAUGAUAGAGAGGUUAAAGAUUCAUCGGUCCAAGAUGGGCUCAUGACCCAUUAGCUAGUUGGUGAGAUAACAGCCCACCAAGGCGACGAUGGGUAGCCGGCUUGAGAGAGUGACCGGCCACAUUGGAACUGAGACACGGUCCAGACUCCUACGGGAGGCAGCAGUGGGGAAUAUUGCACAAUGGAGGAAACUCUGAUGCAGCGACGUCGCGUGAGCGAAGAAGGUUUUCGAAUCGUAAAGCUCUGUCCUAUGGGAAGAAGAAAGACGGUACCAUAGAAGAAAGCCCCGGCUAACUACGUGCCAGCAGCCGCGGUAAUACGUAGGGGGCGAACGUUAUCCGGAAUGAUUGGGCGUAAAGGGUACGUAGGCGGACCUGUAAGUCAGGUGUGAAAGGCAUGGGCUCAACCCAUGUAAGCACUUGAAACUGCGGGUCUUGAGGGAAGGAGAGGUAAGUGGAAUUCCUAGUGUAGCGGUGAAAUGCGUAGAUAUUAGGAGGAAUACCGGUGGCGAAGGCGACUUACUGGACUUUUACUGACGCUGAGGUACGAAAGCGUGGGGAGCAAACAGGAUUAGAUACCCUGGUAGUCCACGCCGUAAAUGGUGAGUGCUAGGUGUCGGGAGUCAAAUCUCGGUGCCGACGUUAACACAUUAAGCACUCCGCCUGGGGAGUACGCACGCAAGUGUGAAACUCAAAGGAAUUGACGGGGACCCGCACAAGCAGCGGAGCAUGUGGUUUAAUUCGAUGCAACGCGAAAAACCUUACCAGGACUUGACAUAUGGAUGCCCGGUAUAGAGUUAUACCCUUUCUUCGGAACAUUCAUACAGGUGGUGCAUGGUUGUCGUCAGCUCGUGUCGUGAGAUGUUGGGGUUAAGUCCCGCAAACGAGCGC